rnacentral:tRNA from 1 species
GCGCACUUAGCCUCAGUGGUUAGAGCAUCACUCUUGAAUGUUGAGGUCGCAGGUUCAAUUCCUGCAGUGCACA